GUUUAGGGUUUUAGAGAAACCCUUUGCAGCUUCGCUUUUCAUCUUGCAAUGGCGUUCUGGGGAGUUGAAUUGAAGUCUGGUAAACCGUUCACUCACAAUUUCGAAAAAGAGAGGGGAAGACUUCACAUCUCACAGGCAACAUUAGGCUCAGGCUCGUCAAACAAAAAAUGCAUAGUUCAAUGCAAAGUAGGUGAUAAGGAGCCUAUUUACUUGUGUUCGUUAUUGCCAGAAAAACUGGAGACAUGCCCGUUGAAUCUCGAGUUUGAGGAGGAUGAUGAUGUUACCUUCUCAGUUGUUGGUUCUCACAGUGUUCAUCUCUCUGGUUUCUUUUAUGGAGAGAGUGAGGAUUGCUGUGGUGAUGAACAUGGAUCUGACUAUGAGGAAGGUGCUUCUGAGACUGAUAGUGCAUCUGAUGAUUCGUUCGAAUUCAAUUAUGACACAGAAGAUGAAGAUGGCUCAACUGAUGAUGAUGAUUUUAGCAUGUACCCACCUUCCCCUAUUCCUAACAGUGGAGUGAGAAUUGAAGAGAUACUGGAGGACGAAAAGCCUGCAGAUGAAAAUGGUACAUCCAAAAAGCCAAAGAAGAAGAAAAAUCACUCAAAUGGGAUUGAUGACUCAGAGCGCCAGAUAGUUGUGAAGGGUAAUACUGAAAGUCCUCUGAUGGAGAGUGAAGAUGAGGAUGGCUUUCCGAU
rnacentral:misc_RNA from 1 species